GCUUCUUCCAGGCACUUCCGGUCAGCGCAGCCCAGGCCGCAGGAGGGUACCGUACUGGACCCCCUCUCUCCAGUGGGGGCAGGAGAUGGGAGCGCAACUGGGGCUCCGCCGAGGUCUCUGAGGGCACUUCGCCCCCCCCCACCCCAGGAACCGCGAAACCCCAAAUCUUCUUGCUCAGAGCGGGGCGCGGGCCCUGCCCACCCGCUCUCCAGGGACGGGCGCAGAAAGGCAGUCCCGGCCGCCUCCCCGCGCCAGUGUUGGGGCAAGCGUCUGAAAGCUGCGCUUGGGCCGCAGGCUCCAGUCAUCGCACCCCACCCCCGGUUCUCCCGGGCCACUGUUCAUUGCACAGUUUCGAUUUGUCUAGGCCGGAGUCUCCUCUUCUUUCCUCACCAUCUUUUUCUAUGGGCUUCCCGCCUCUGUGUUCCUCCUCAUCCUCUGCUCCAAGGUUUCCGUUUUUGCACCGGAGGCCGACCUGCGACCAGCCUUCUCCGGCCGCUCGGACUCGGCCUCUGCCGCGGGGUGCACCCGGGCGUCCCUUCGGCUCCCGGCCCUCCCUCUCUCCUCGUCGCCCAGUCCUGCCUCCGAGUUUGCGCCCCUGGCCUCCCCGCGCCGCGGCUCAACUGGAUAUCCGAACGCUCCGACUGUCCGCUCCCCUCCCCUCCCCCGGCCGACACAUGGGGACCAGCGCUGACCUUGGGUGCAGCCACGCUGUCCCCUGCUGCUCUCCAGUCACCCCUGUAUCCCUUUGACUCUCGGGCUUCCGAAUAGGGGCUCCCGGAGUAUUACCAGGGGAAAAGGGGAGCGCCCUUCCCCUCGUAUUGAGAGUCGCCACGCAAUGUCCGCUGCGCAAACUGGGCCUCGGAGCGGCCGGGCCGGGGUCAAACCAGGAAGCGGGGGGAGGGGUGGACAGCAAGGCUAAAGAGACCUGACUUUAUUUGUGUUGCUUUAACUUGUCCUGAAUGGUUACACGAGGCGCGCGCUCUUGCACACAUACACACCGCGGGCAGCCCAAACCUUCGCUGGCUCGGCCCACCAGCUCCUCGCCCUGCCAGUCCUUAGCCGACUCUGAGCCACUGGAGUCAGAGGGCUCGGGCGCCUGCCUUCUCGGUGCCGGCUGGGUAGGACCUGCUGGCGAAGGGCUGCCAACUGAACUUUCCUGCACUAGGGCUGACUGCGUUGUGGUGCUAAGUGACAAGUCGAGUGUUGGCUUGGGGACUGCGAUACAGGACCGGCCACAAGGAAGGGAACCAGGUAUGCGCUGGGGCCGGGAGAGGCGCCCUGGCAGCGGACGUUCCCGCAGGUAGUGCGCGACUCUUGCCCCAGGAAGAAGUCGCUGCUGCCUGCAGAGUGGGCUUGGAGAGGCUGGGGCCUCCAUUGAGACUGCUCACUUCCUUUUCUCCGGGACCACGGGACCACGGCUCUUCAGCUUUUUCCGCCCUAGGCUCCCCCACCUCCUCGGUUCCCCAUGGAAGAGUUAUUUGAGGGCUUCCCGGAGUUGGGGUUUGGCCCACCAAUCCUAGCAAGUCAUGGCCCGCCCGGCGAGGCGCAGCGAGGCGGCCUCCCUCCCGCUACCCUGGGUGGGGUAGGGACCCCCUUUCCCCUAGAGACCCUCUAGCACCCGAGUGUUGGUGAUCAUUACUUUAAAUUAAAAGUCUCUUUUCUCCUUUC
rnacentral:lncRNA from 1 species